UACGGAGGGUGCAAGCGUUAUCCGGAUUCACUGGGUUUAAAGGGUGCGUAGGUGGGUCUGUAAGUCCGUGGUGAAAUCUCCGAGCUUAACUUGGAAACUGCCAUGGAUACUAUAGAUCUUGAAUACUGUGGGGGUCAGCGGAAUAUGUCAUGUAGCGGUGAAAUGCUUAGAUAUGACAUAGAACACCAAUUGCGAAGGCAGCUGGCUACACAAAUAUUGACACUGAGGCACGAAAGCGUGGGGAUCAAACAGG
rnacentral:rRNA from 1 species